UCACACCCCCGGAGUCUGGGUCCUUUUUUGGGAGGGAAAAUUUUAGUUUGUUUAUCAGUUUUUUCUUAUUGCUUUUGUAUCUCUCUCUAAAAGGAAUACCUAGUCAGUAUAGGAAGGUGUAGCUUUUGGAAGUACCGAGAAUAAAGGGGAUGCCUAUGACUCAGAUGGCAACAUCUUCGUGAACAUCCUUGCAGAUGGAUGCAUUGUGUACAUACAUAGAGAAGUACCUGUGUGUAAUUUUACAUGUCACGUAUUCUCUACUUUAUUUAAGCUCAAUGGAACAGCACAUGCAUCUUCCCGUGUUCAUGAAGAUUGGUGUUUAUCAUCCCAGUUGGCCUCAUGCGGGUCCGGACGGCUGGACGCAGGGACGUGUGCCUACCAGUCGGGUGGUCUGCUUGUCUCUGGGGGUGCCUUUCGCCCCAGCACUGCCCAGCCUCUGCGUGGACUGGCUUCCGGGCUCAGAGUGUUUGAUUACCCAGGUAAAUCGGAUUUUGAGGAAAUCAGUUGGGUUUAGGAGGAAAAGUGGCAGAGGAAGCUGUGUGUCUUACACAGUGAGGGACAAGGGCUCCUGGAGAAACUGGCUCCUGGUCUGUGCAGGACACUUGCCGUCCCUGAGCCUGGGGGAGGGUUUGGCUGGAAGCUUCUAGAAUCUCCUUAAACGCUGAGGUGGCAUGACGCAGGUGCCAGUGGGGGGAUUGAAAUCUUUUUCCCUAUAAUAUGUAUUAUUUAAAGUAGGUUUCCAUAUUCUCAGCAGUGCACAACAUAGCAUUUUGGAAAAAGACAUUCCCUUGCUUAUUCCCACGGAAGAUGGUUAAGCCUGAUGUACAGUGAGGGGUCACCUCUGACUCUGAAAAGGAACACAUUUCAGGAUUUGGGAGUGAAGCUAUUUGCUCCCGUGCGGCCUGUUUGUUACUCGCCGCUACCUGCACGUUACUGCUCGCGAGAGGGAGAGAAAGCCCUUCCCACCAUCUGUCCUGAUCUCCUUCCUCUGACUGCAUUUCAGUCCCUUUUCAUCCGCGAAUAAACCCUUUACCCCCA